UUUUGAAAUCCCUUUUUAAUUUGACUUGUGAUUCCUCUUUUGAUGUUGAAUUUAAUUGCAACUUGAAUUCCUUAAGUGAGAAACUCUUUCGUGGCUCUUGGAAUUGAUUUGGUAGUGAUUGAGUUGGAUUUGGACUUCUGAAAACUUAAAAUUCGGUUUCCAACUGUUUUCCCGCCUCUGCUGUCAAGUUCUGCUGUCAAGGUGAUUUG
rnacentral:lncRNA from 1 species